rnacentral:lncRNA from 10 species
CCAGAGGAGUGUUACAACACUCUUUUAGCUCUGUCGUCUGCGGAGGGCUUAAGUGUUAACAGCUUAGUGGACCCUCUGUCUUUACACGUGAGGCGGCUGCCCUCUACCAGCGAGGGCGAAGGGUCGGUGUGACAGCAUUUUGUAUCCACACUCGUGGCUCCUCAGCUCUUGUCUGGCAUCCAGGAGAAAUGAGGUCACACGAAUGAAUUGAAGAAUUAUAAAUGUGGGGGAUUUUAUUGCCAAUGAAAGUGGCGCUUUUCACGGGAAGAGGAACCAAAAAGCAAACGGCGCAGGAAGAAAACUUUCCAGACAGGGACAGAGCAAGGUGGUGGAAUAGAAGGCUCCACUGAUCAUCUCCUCUGCAAGGACACCAAGUUAACAACUAUCUAUACAGAAUAGAUUUUGGUUCAUUAAGAACUAAAAAUCAGACAGGAUUUCACUUUGUUACCCAGCCUGGAGUGCAGUGGUGUGAUCUCAGCUCACUGCAGCCUCAAACUCCUGAGCCCAGGUGAUCCUCCUGCCUCAGCCUCCCAAGUAGCUGGGACUACAGGUAUGCACCACCACACCCAGCUAAUUGUUUUGUAUUUUUUGUGGAUAUGAAGAUAACCAUGUUGCCCAGGCUGGUCUUGAACUCUACCCACUGUGGCCUCCCAAAGUGCUAGGAUUACAGGUCUGAGCAACUGGAACCAGCCUGUUUCUACUUAUAUCUUAUUGUACUGUCUAUGUCUUGUAAAGUGGUUGUAGUCAUUUUGUAACUUUUAUUUUAGUUUUGGGGAUACAUGUGAAGGUUUGUUACAUAAGCAAACUCAUGUCACAGGGGUUUGUUGUACAGAUUAUUUCAUCACCAAGAAAUUAAGCCCAGCACCCA